rnacentral:rRNA from 1 species
CCUACGGGUGGCAGCAGUGAGGAAUAUUGGUCAAUGGGCGCGAGCCUGAACCAGCCAAGUCGCGUGAGGGAGGACGGCCCUACGGGUUGUAAACCUCUUUUGUCGGGGAGCAACGGGCGUCACGUGUGGCGCCACUGAGAGUACCCGGAGAAAAAGCAUCGGCUAACUCCGUGCCAGCACCCGCGGUACUACGGGGGAUGCGAGCGUUAUCCGGAUUUAUUGGGUUUAACGGGUGCGUAGGCGGAAUGCCAAGUCAACGGUAAAAUCGCGGGGGUAAACAUAGCUCUGCCGUUGAAACUGGCGUUCUUGAGUGGGCGAGAAGUAUGCGGAAUGCGUGGUGUAGCGGUGAAAUGCAUAGAGAUCACGCAGAACUCCGAUUGCGAAGGCAGCAUACCGGCGCCCAACUGACGCUGAAGCACGAAAGCGUGGGUAUCGAACAGGAUUAGAUACCCGGGUAGUC